rnacentral:rRNA from 1 species
CCUACGGGAGGCAGCAGUGAGGAAUAUUGGUCAAUGGACGCGAGCCUGAACCAGCCAAGUAGCGUGCAGGAUGACUGCCCUACGGGUUGUAAACUUCUUUUGUAAAAGGAUAAAGUGAGACACGUGUACCUUGUUGAAUGUUCUUUAUGAAUAAGGAUCGGCUAACUCCGUGCCAGCAGCCGCGGUAAUACGGAGGAUCCGAGCGUUAUCCGGAUUUAUUGGGUUUAAAGGGAGCGUAGAUGGGUUGUUAAGUCAGUUGUGAAAGUUUGCGGCUCAACCGUAACAUUGCAUGUGAUACUGGCAGUCUUGAGUACAGUUGAGGUAGGCGGAAUUCGUGGUGUAGCGGUGAAAUGCUUAGAUAUCACGCAGAACUCCGAUUGCGAAGGCAGCUUACUAAACUGCCACUGACAUUGAGGCUCGAAAGUGUGGGUAUCAAACAGGAUUAGAUACCCUAGUAGUC